UACCUUGUUGAUCCUGUCAAUAGUCAUUUACUUGUCCCAUCGAUUAAGCCAUGCAUGUGUAAGUAUAAAUUAAUUUAGAUUGUGAAACAACUAAUGACUCAUUAAAUCAGUUAUAAUUUGUUUGAUGGUACUUGCUACUCAGAUAACCAUAGUAAUUCUAGAGCUAAUACGUAAAACAAACUUUGACUUCUUGAAGGGAUUAAUUUAUUAGAUAAAAGGUCGACGCGGGCUCUGCUCGUUGCUGCGAUGAUUCAUGAUAACUCAAAGGAUUGCAUGGUCCUCGUGCCGACGAAUCGUUCAAAUUUUUGCACUAUCAACUUUCGAUGGUAGGAUAGUGGCCUACUAUAAUGGUGACGGAUAACGAAAAAUGAGGGUUCAAUUCCAAAGAGGGAGCCUGAGAAACGGCUAUCACAUCCAAGGAAGGCAGCAGGAGCGCAAAUUACCCAAUCAUGACACGGGGAGAUAGUGACAAUAAAUAACAAUACCGGACUCUCAAAGUCCGAUAAUUGGAAUGAGUACAAUCUAAAUCCCUUAACGAGGAUCAAUUGGAGGGUAAGUUUGGUGCCAACAGCCAUGGUAAUUCCAGCUCCAAUAGCAUAUAUUUAAGUUGUUGCAGUUAAAAAACUUGUAGUUAAACUUUGGAUUGGGUCGGCCGGUCCACCUAUAGUGUGCACCGGUCAUUUUGUCCCUUCUGUCAACAAUGCACUUCUGGCCUUAAUUGGCCGGAUCGUGGCACCUGCGCUGUUACUUUGAAGAAAA
rnacentral:rRNA from 1 species